rfam:Desulfosporosinus youngiae DSM 17734 chromosome, whole genome shotgun sequence.
GCGGGUGUAACUCAGCGGUAGAGUGUCACCUUGCCAAGGUGAAAGUCGCGAGUUCGAAUCUCGUCACCCGCU